rnacentral:tRNA from 1 species
GGGUUGUUGGUCUAGCGGUAUGAUUCUCGUUUUGGGUACGAGAGGUCCCGGGUUCGAUUUUAAGAAAAUCCC